GCAGCAGUGGGGAAUUUUGGACAAUGGGCGCAAGCCUGAUCCAGCCAUUCCGCGUGAGUGAAGAAGGCCUUCGGGUUGUAAAGCUCUUUCGGCAGGAACGAAACGGCGGGCUCUAACAUAGCCUGUUACUGACGGUACCUGCAGAAGAAGCACCGGCUAACUACGUGCCAGCAGCCGCGGUAAUACGUAGGGUGCGAGCGUUAAUCGGAAUUACUGGGCGUAAAGCGUGCGCAGGCGGAUUGUUAAGCAAGACGUGAAAUCCCCGGGCUUAACCUGGGAAUGGCGUUUUGAACUGGCAGUCUAGAGUGCGUCAGAGGGGGGUGGAAUUCCACGUGUAGCAGUGAAAUGCGUAGAGAUGUGGAGGAACACCGAUGGCGAAGGCAGCCCCCUGGGAUGACACUGACGCUCAUGUACGAAAGCGUGGGUAGCAAACAGGAUUAGAUACCCUGGUAGUCCACGCCCUAAACGAUGUCAACUGGUUGUUGGGGGAGUGAAAUCCCUUAGUAACGAAGCUAACGCGUGAAGU
rnacentral:rRNA from 1 species